rnacentral:rRNA from 1 species
GACGGAGGAGGCAAGCGUUAUCCGGAAUUAUUGGGCGUAAAGCGUCCGCAGGCGGCUUUUAAGUCUGUUGUCAAAGCCCACAGCUCAACUGUGGAUCGGCAAUGGAAACUGGGAAGCUAGAGUGUGGUAGGGGUAGAGGGAAUUCCCGGUGUAGCAGUGAAAUGCGUAGAUAUCGAGAGGAACACCAGUGGCGAAGGCGAGUCCCUGGACAACACCUGACACUGAGGCACGAAAGCUAGGGGAGCAAACAGG